rnacentral:rRNA from 1 species
GUGUCAGCAGCCGCGGUAAUACGAAGGGGGCUAGCGUUGUUCGGAAUUACUGGGCGUAAAGCGCGCGCAGGCGGUCCUUUAAGUCGGGGGUGAAAGCCCAGAGCUCAACUCUGGAACUGCCUUCGAAACUAGAGGACUUGGGUACGGGAGAGGUGAGUGGAAUUCCGAGUGUAGAGGUGAAAUUCGUAGAUAUUCGGAAGAACACCAGUGGCGAAGGCGGCUCACUGGCCCGUUACCGACGCUCAGGCGCGACAGCGUGGGGAGCAAACAGGAUUAGAUACCCCAGUAGUCC